UGAUGCAAUCAUACCAAAACUAAUGCGUCGGAUACCAUUAGAACUCCGAAGUUAAGCAUGCUUGAGCGAGAGUAGUACUAGGAUGGGUGGCCCCCCUGGAAAGUCGUCGUGUUGCAUCCC
rnacentral:rRNA from 1 species